rnacentral:rRNA from 1 species
GAUGAACGCUGGCGGCGUGCCUAAUACAUGCAAGUCGAGCGAACAGACGAGGAGCUUGCUCCUCUGACGUUAGCGGCGGACGGGUGAGUAACACGUGGAUAACCUACCUAUAAGACUGGGAUAACUUCGGGAAACCGGAGCUAAUACCGGAUAAUAUAUUGAACCGCAUGGUUCAAUAGUGAAAGACGGUUUUGCUGUCACUUAUAGAUGGAUCCGCGCCGCAUUAGCUAGUUGGUAAGGUAACGGCUUACCAAGGCAACGAUGCGUAGCCGACCUGAGAGGGUGAUCGGCCACACUGGAACUGAGACGCGGUCCAGACUCCUACGGGAGGCAGCAGUAGGGAAUCUUCCGCAAUGGGCGGAAGCCUGACGGAGCAACGCCGCGUGAGUGAUGAAGGUCUUCGGAUCGUAAAACUCUGUUAUUAGGGAAGAACAAAUGUGUAAGUAACUAUGCACGUCUUGACGGUACCUAAUCAGAAAGCCACGGCUAACUACGUG